rnacentral:rRNA from 1 species
AUUGCACGCUGGCGGCAGGCCUACCACAUGCACGUCGAGCGGAGCGGCGGACGGGUGAGGAAUGCCUAUGAAUCGGCCUGGUAGUGGGGGAUAACGUCCGGAAACGGGCGCUAAUACCGCAUACUCUCAGCUGAGCCUAGGUCGGAUUAGCUAGUUGGGGGGGUAAAGGCCUACCAAGGCGACGAUCCGUAACUGGUAUGAGAGGAUGAGCAGUCACACUGGAAGUGCGACACGGUCCAGCCUCCUACGUGAGGGAGCAGUGGGGAAUAUUGGACAAUGGGCGAAAGCCUGAUGCAGCCAUGCCGCGUGUGUGAAGAAGGUCUUCGGAUUGUAAAGCACUUUAAGUUGGGAGGCGUUACCAACAGAAUAAGCACCGGCGAACUACGGGCCAGCAGCCGCGGUAAUAC